rnacentral:rRNA from 1 species
AGUAACACGUGGAUAACCUACCUAUAAGACUGGGAUAACUUCGGGAAACCGGAGCUAAUACCGGAUAAUAUUUUGAACCGCAUGGUUCAAAAGUGAAAGACGGUCUUGCUGUCACUUAUAUAUGGAUCCGCGCUGCAUUAGCUAGUUGGUAAGGUAACGGCUUACCAAGGCAACGAUGCAUAGCCGACCUGAGAGGGUGAUCGGCCACACUGGAACUGAGACACGGUCCAG